rnacentral:rRNA from 1 species
AACGAACGCUGGCGGCAGGCUUAACACAUGCAAGUCGAACGGGUGUAGCAAUACAUCAGUGGCAGACGGGUGAGUAACACGUGGGAACCUUCCUAGGGGUACGGAACAACUCAGGGAAACUUGAGCUAAUACCGUAUACGUCCGUGAGGAGAAAGAUUUAUCGCCCUUAGACGGGCCCGCGUCGGAUUAGCUAGUUGGUGGGGUAACGGCCUACCAAGGCGACGAUCCGUAGCUGAUCUUAGAGGAUGAUCAGCCACACUGGGACUGAGACACGGCCCAGACUCCUACGGGAGGCAGCAGUGGGGAAUCUUGGACAAUGGGCGCAAGCCUGAUCCAGCCAUGCCGCGUGAGUGAAGAAGGUCUUCGGAUUGUAAAGCUCUUUUGCCAGGGACGAUAAUGACGGUACCUGGAGAAUAAGCCCCGGCAAACUUCGUGCCAGCCGCCGCGGUAAAAC